rnacentral:rRNA from 1 species
GUCAAUAGCCUAACGGCUGAACCAGCAAUUUGGGGGAAUGUAUAGCAUAUGCUAAUUGUAUGUUAAAUACAAUAUCGACUAUGUCGAAUAAAGUUCUAGAUGGAAUACUGAUAAUGACAAUUUUCCAUCUAUAUGUCUUGACCAAAUCACGUGCCAGCAGUCGCGGUAAUACGUGGAAGACUAGUGUUAUUCAUCUUUAAUAGGUUUAAAGGGUACCUAGACGGUAUUUCUAGCCCAAAUAAAGGGUACGGAUUUACUAGAGUUUAAUGUAAGAAGAAAAAAUUAAGAAUGAAAUAUUAAUUUUCAUUUUUUGUAGUACUUGAAGUGUAGAGAUAAAAUUUUGUGAUACUUUAAGGAAACUGGUGAUGCGAAAGCAACCUUCUAUGUAUAAACUGACGUUGAGGGACGAAGGCUUGGGUCGCGAAUAGGAUUAGAUACCCUAGUAGUCCAAGCAGAAAAUUAUGAAUGCCAUAGAUCAGAUUUAUUUUGGUUUAUAAAUGAAAGUGUAAGCAUUCCACCUCAAGAGUAAUGUGGCAACGCAGGAACUGAAAUCAUUAGACCGUUUCUGAAACCAGUAGUGAAGUAUGUUAUUUAAUUCGAUAAUCCGCGAAAAACCUUACCACAAUUUGAAUACAAAAACGAUUCCCCCUCUCCUCCGGCUGGGAAUCUAAGUACAAGCGCUGCACGGCUGUCUUCAGUUAAUGUCGUGAGAUUUUGGUUAGUUCCAUUAAAUUAACGUAAACCCUUGCUUUAUUUAUAAUUUUUAUAUAAAGUAGUUCACCGUUACAUUGGAUAUGAUAAAAGGGAAUAAGACAAGUCAUCAUGGCCUUAAUAUUGUGGGCUAUAG